ACUAAUCUGUGCGCUCAGUUUCUGCAAUCAGUGCGCGCAGAUUGUGUCGACAGGUUGGACGCAUGGUGUGUGUGGUAUCCGGUUUUAUUGUGAAAGGCUAAACAGGAAGUGAAUACUGUGAGUGCGGAGACAACUUGAUGUUUCGGGGUUUAGUUGUCGCUUGAAUCCUUGCCUGAGGACACAACCGUAUGAAGCCGCAUCUACAAGGCAAAUGAAUCCCUCCCGUCCCCCGUUUUGUUGUGAAAGAGAACAAACAUCUGAGAACCGCUGGAGAAAACCUCAGAGCGGCUUGCUGCAGAGAAAUGUCCCCGUGAGGAGAGCUUCAUCUGCAGAAUGAUGGGAGCCGCAGCCCCGCUCUUACUCUGAAAUGUUUCAAACUUUAUUCAGAUAUUUCUGUGGUGUAAUAAACGUUUUUGAAAGAGUAA